AUGCAGCUCAGCCCAUUAUUUCGAGGGAUCUCCAUGGUCCAAAUCAGAAAUGGAUCAUUUGCUCUGUUUUGGAAGGACUUAUGGCAUGAAGAGCUUGCAUCAUUGGCCUUCCCGCGUGCCUACUCCUACACAACAAAUGAAGAUAUUUCGGUUAUAAACUUCCUACGAACGACGGUGUUGAGCUCUGUCUUUCAGUUGCCCCUCUCACCACAAGCCCAUGAGGAGGUCAAAACGAUUCAGCAACUGCUCACAGAAAUUAAUAUACCCGAGCAAGGUGAAGACAAAUGUACAUAUGUGUGGUGA
rnacentral:rRNA from 1 species